rnacentral:lncRNA from 1 species
AAAAGAGGAGAACUUAGGGAUGCAGGCUUAGGGUAGACAAGGGGUGGCUGAGCAAGGAGCCAAAGUGUUUUGCGUAAAAAGCUUACUAGUAGUGCAUCCUUAUUUUCAAGUUUUACCCCCGAAUUCCUCCCUCGCAGAGGCCGAGGAGUUCGAGGACAGUCUAACUGGUUGUUCCCCACAGACGAAUCUGUGAGUUCCUAGUCCUAUCAUAAAGUAUUAUUUAUCGAUGGCCAUAGCUUCAUGUCGCUAUGAGUCCGGGAAUUGGGAUCCGAACCUCAUGGGACAUUUUCCCCUUUCUCAUGUUAUCAUUCAGUUGCAUAUUUAACUACGAUGAGGGUCGAAGGAAUUGAGUCUCCCAAUCGGGGAGCAACGACGAUUCGAAUCGCUUAGCAAUCCAGCUGGAGUUCCUAACCACCCGACAUAUGUAGAACCAAAUCUUGCAUAUAUCAACCCAAAUCAAGCUCUCCCCAAAUUUGACCAGGUUCGCGGCACCCGAGAGCACAGUACUCCACCAUCCUACAGCCGAUCUAGAU